GAUAGCGAAGGUGAUCUUAUUAUUAGCAUUUGACAACAAUUGACAUUCAAGGUUUGCUUUUCAGUCAUUCUAUAGAGGUUCUCAAGUAAAUACUUUCCCAAUUUUUAGCACCAUCUUGUGCAAUUAAGUAAAUGUUUGCCAUUAAAAGAGGUCUUAUGACAGCUGGCCUGGGAGUCUAAUCUAUGACUUCUCCAUUUUGAUCACUACAAGGUUGUCCAACACAUUUUGUUUGGUUGGCAAUUGACAUGUUCUUCAUCUCUUUGCGUCAAUAAUGUCUGCAAAAAAAAAAAAAAAGUCUUUAUGCGAGAUAGAAUGAAUGAACGAAGCAAUAGUCUUUAUUGUCAUUUCUUUUGAUGACUAAGUCAAUCAUUACCCAUUUUAAAUAUAUGUAAUAGACCACAUGUAGACACAAUUUCUCGUGUAUUCUUGUCUCACAUUUUUCUUGUUCUAUUACUUCCAAUGGUCACACUGAUUAGCACUGUGUUUGGUAGUCUUGCUUUGCCAUAGCAAUAUGGAUAUUUUCACCAAAGCGAUUGGCAAGAGUAACUUGCAAUUUUGCCAAGAUUGCAAAAGAAGAAAGUACUUCAAUGUAAUAAUGCCUCUUGAUUUCUACUGACACUUGAAUGUUAAUCAAUAAUUUCAGCAUAGCAUUUGUUCUUAUAAAAGUACAAAAACAAAAAUUAGCAAGAUAAAAGCAAAAAUAAUUAAAUAAUGAAAUAAACAAAUAUGAUAAACGAAAUAAAUAGACAAAUAAUAAAGACAUCAACAUAUAAAAAGAAUCCGGUCACAAUAAGAAAAGAAAAGGUCGGUCCAAUUCAUGUAGCUCAACUUGAUCCACAAGGCCAUCGUGUCAGCCCAUUGGCCCAACUUAGCUGUCACAAAUUUGUCCUAACCCAUUUCUUUCUAUUUGUGCUCAGCACAUCUUCCUCCCCGCCUCUCUCCUUCUCCCUGUCGUUUGAAGAAGAAGUUAAGAACGACGGGAGUAAGGAUAAAUGCGCGGUGAGAGAGUCGAACGAAUCAGCUCAGUUCGAGUGAGCUUCUCGAUAAAGUUCUUCAAGGCUGAUUUUGGACAAGCUUGUAACCGAAUCGUCUGUUGGGCACCCGUAUAUCCGCCGGUAACCGCCACCGGCCUUCCGUCGCCGGCCAUCAACGAACAUACGUGCUGAGAGAGAGCUCGAACGGAGGGCAUUGAUGGAACGGACUCGGGAGGUUUUUGGGCGUUUUAGGAGUUCACUCUCUCGGGAGCUCUGUUCGCCUCUGUUCUCAGUUCAUCACCUUCGAAGCAGCUUGGUUCGGGUUCAAUCCUCCUUCGCAAACUCCGAUUCUUGGCGUCCGUUGCUCGUCGGACGUCCUCCUUCUGGUAUCACCGCCCAUCGUAGCUCCGUCUCCGACCAGGAGGGAGCCUGCGAUUGGUGUUAUUUGACUGAGGUCCAUGUGCGUUGGCAUUUGGUAAGAUGUAUCUGAAUUCCAUUGAUCAACGCUGGCUUGUACCGUGCAGUGAGAAUACCAAGCAGGAACAAGCGUGGGAAUCGAAGCAGGAGAUCGUAUAUGAUGUUCAAGAUACCUUCUUGACGUGAGAUUUCAAUUACUUGCUCAAGAAAAUAAUGGAUUGCUGUUAACGGCAAACAUAAUAAGUGUAUACAGACAUGUUCUACGGUAUUCAAAUUCUUUAUUGUU